CAAAAGCUUAGUUCCAGUUUACAGUGGACAUUCAUCCAACUUAGAUUUCCAGCAGAAGAGAGUUUCACCUGUUUCUGAGCUGCUACAUCUCCUCCUUUUGGCCCCUUUUCUACUUUUCAACAGUGCAAAAUUGUUUUAGCCAAAUAGGCUAAGACCUUGUCUGCUUUGUUUCUGGCAAACAUCACAUCUCUAACACCCAACAAGAAAGAGUCAGGCCGCCCUUGGGGGCCUUUCACUUCACGGCCCGUCUUUGGUGCUGUCUUCAGAGUUGCCGGACGCAGGUGACAAGACAAUCGUUUCCAUCAUGUCCUUGCCCUUUUUUGUCAGCCCCAGAGACAACGUCUCCUCUCUUGUUCAGGAACAUUCUAGCGGAAACAGGCAGUAUUCCUUUGCCUAAGCAUGAAAUGGGGUUUCCCAAACAGGCGUGUGUAUUGGACGCCUCUGGCGGAGAGCAGGCGGGCGCCGAGGCCCGGCCUUGCGAGCGGAGCGCACUAUAAAGUGGCGCGUGCUGUCCGCCGCGUCCGCCUUGUAGAGAGAAAUGCUGGGGUACAGCUUCAAGCUUAGGACCACCCACCAUGCCCAUCCAGGUGCUGAAGGGCUUGACCAUCCCUUGCGACCCUCCAGGCUCUCUGCUGUUUACUGCCUAGGCGUGGCUGCAGCCAUGGCUAGGAAAGUGCUGCACCCACCCACCUGGGCCGGAGCUGGUUCUGCUCCUGCUACUGGGACACUGAGCUCCUGGCUAUCUCGGCGCUUUGGGCAAGAACCGCAACAAGCUCUCCUGGGCCCUGCAGGUGUACGGCCGGGCCCCUGCCUUGUGCCUCAUCUCUCGAGAACUGCUGCUGCUGGGCGACCUGAUCCAACCUGACAGGGUGCCAUCUUCAGCUACCACUGCAAGGUCCUGAGGGCAACAGCAGCGCGGCACUGCCCACCUGGCUGCUGGUGGCCUGGUGCCAGCUGGGAGUCCUCCCAGCACUUCGAGGCCACUGAGCCGCCCUUCCAGCCCUGGCCCACCAUGGAGAGGGGUAUCCAGCUUCCUCUUCAACCUCGUCUGCCCCUGAGCCAGUGACGCCCAAGUACAUGUCUGUUAUGUUACCCAGGGCCUGUACCAGCACCAGCUGGUCAAGGGCAUGACGUUGUUGUAGGCCGUCCUGGACAUCCAGGCCAUUGCUGACAGCAGGCUGCUUUCCAUGGUGCCAGAGGCUGCCAGGCUCACACCAGGACCCAACCCAGUGCACAAGGACCUGGCUGCUGAGCCUCACACCCAGGAGAAGGUGGAUAAGUGGGCUACCAAGGGCUUCCUGCAGGCUAGGGGAGGAGCCUCCUGUGCAGAGGAGCUGCCCAUAUGCCACCAUGAGACCUGGGCCUGGCUCCCGAGAACAGAUACCGCCUGGCCUGGUGCUCCAGGGGUGAAGCAGGCCAGAAUCCUUGGGGAGCUGCUCCUGGUUUGAGCUGCAGUCAGGAAGUGCGGGACAUGGUAGGGGAGGCAAAAAGCCUUGGGCACUACCCUCCCUGUGGAGCCAUUCGGCGUCCCUCGAGCUAGCCACACCCUGACACUGUGUUCAAGGGCUCCGGAAGAGAGGGGUGUCUGCCUCCAACCUCUCCCCCGUGGGUGUCACUGGCCAGACGUCAUGAGGGGAGCAGGCUGCGUGAGUGGACACUUACAUGAGUCCCUGGGGGAAGUGAGCCCCUGGCAUUGCGUGCCAUAUUACAUUUCUGCCCGGGCAGUGGGGUAGGUGGGUACCAUGGGUGCCCACCCCUCCGCCACAUGGAGCCCCAAAGCACUGCAGGCCAAGCAGGGAGACCCCACACCCAUGACAUAAAACCAUCUUGAAGCUUUUACUUAGUGUUUGUAAGGAUUGGUUUGUUUUGUUGUUUUUUGAGAUGGUUUUCGCUCUUGAUGCCCAGGCUGCAGUACAGUGGUGCAAUCUUGGCUCACUGCAACCUCCACCUCCUGGGUCCAGGUGAUUCUUCUGCCUCAGCCUCCCAAGUAGCUGGGAUUACAGGCGCCUGCCACCACGCCUGGCUCUGUAUUUUCAGUAGAGAUGAGGUUUCACCAUGUUGCCCAUGCUGGUCU
rnacentral:lncRNA from 1 species